rnacentral:rRNA from 1 species
AAGCUCGUAGUUGAAUUUCGGGGUUAGUAGGUUGGUCAUGCCUCUGGUAUGUACUGGUCUCACUGAUUCCUCCUUCCUUAUGAACCGUAAUGCCAUUAAUUGGGUGUUGCGGGGAAUUUGGACUGUUACUUUGAAAAAAUUAGAGUGUUUAAAGCAAGCUAACGCUUGAAUACAUUAGCAUGGAAUAAUGGAAUAGGACGUUCGAUCUUAUUUUGUUGGUUUCUAGGAUUGACGUAAUGAUUAUAGGGAUAGUUGGG